rnacentral:rRNA from 1 species
GAUGAACGCUGGCGGCGUGCCUAAUACAUGCAAGUCGAGCGAACAGACGAGGAGCUUGCUCCUUUGACGUUAGCGGCGGACGGGUGAGUAACACGUGGAUAACCUACCUAUAAGACUGGGAUAACUUCGGGAAACCGGAGCUAAUACCGGAUAACAUGUUGAACCGCAUGGUUCAACAGUGAAAGACGGUCUUGCUGUCACUUAUAGAUGGAUCCGCGCCGCAUUAGCUAGUUGGUAAGGUAACGGCUUACCAAGGCAGCGAUGCGUAGCCGACCUGAGAGGGUGAUCGGCCACACUGGAACUGAGACACGGCCCAGACUCCUACGGGAGGCAGCAGUAGGGAAUCUUCCGCAAUGGGCGAAAGCCUGACGGAGCAACGCCGCGUGAGUGAAGAAGGUCUUCGGAUCGUAAAACUCUGUUAUUAGGGAAGAACAAAUGUGUAAGUAACUAUGCACGUCUUGACGGUACCUAAUCAGAAAGCCACGGCUAACUACGUG